AUCCCUGGAGAAAAUCCCAUCUGAGGAACAGCUUUCUGAGGCUGGUGAGAUCAAAGAGCCAGUUGGGUAUGGGCGAGCUCAGAGAGUUUUCAGACAAGUCAAGAACUUCAAGGAGUUUCAGAUUCGCAGAUGAAGGCAAGGAGAGAGGUAAGUUCUUGAUCUCACAGUUGAACAAAUGCAACUCCUUCAGCUUCGUGAGUCUAAUGAAGUCCUGUAACCAGGUUUCACCGGCGCCGCUUAGAUUCACAUACCCCAUGUUGAGGUAAGUCAGUGAAGAAGGCAGCCACUUGAGGUCGCUUGCGCGCAAAGCAAACGGACCAGAGUCACUAAACGACUCAGCGUACAGGUCAAGAAACUCCAGCUUCGACAAGCUCCCAAGACUCGCAGGAACUUCACCGGAAAACGAUGAGGAA
rnacentral:lncRNA from 1 species